GAAAUGAAUAAAUAUGGCGGUGUUUGGGAGACGGGAGCCGGCAGUAAUGGACGUCGGGGAUGCGAUCGCAGUUAAGUGGUGUUGACAGGGCUGCUGCAGUGUUCCUGAAAACUGACAGUUCCUCAAAGAGCUUUUGUCUCUCGCCUCCCUCGGGAACCGCCCACUCGAGUGACUUAGAAAAGCCCACGACUCAAACUUCUCCCGAUCUAUUCUGUCUGGCUGUUAAUGAAGAG
rnacentral:lncRNA from 1 species